rnacentral:rRNA from 1 species
ACAAGCGGUGGAGCAUGUGGUUCAAUUCGAAGCAACGCGCAGAACCUUACCAACCCUUGACAUGUCCAGUAUGGGUUUCAGAGAUGAGACCCUUCAGUUCGGCUGGCUGGAACACAGGUGCUGCAUGGCUGUCGUCAGCUCGUGUCGUGAGAUGUUGGGUUAAGUCCCGCAACGAGCGCAACCCUCGCCCUUAGUUGCCAUCAUUUAGUUGGGCACUCUAGGGGGACUGCCGGUGAUAAGCCGCGAGGAAGGUGGGGAUGACGUCAAGUCCUCAUGGCCCUUACGGGUUGGGCUACACACGUGCUACAAUGGCGGUGACAGUGGGAUGCAAAGGGGUGACCCUACGCAAAUCUCAAAAAGCCGUCUCAGUUCGGAUUGGGGUCUGCAACUCGACCCCAUGAAGUCGGAAUCGCUAGUAAUCGUGGAUCAGCAUGCCACGGUGAAUACGUUCCCGGGCCUU